rnacentral:lncRNA from 1 species
AAAUGAAUUCUGACACUUAAAUGUAUAUUAAAUCACAUAAUCUUAUAAAUUACAAUUAAAGCACUGAAAAUAAUUGAAAAGGAGGAAAACAAAUGGAGAAAAAUAAUAAAGAGAAAAAUCAUGCAAUAAUAAAUAUCUCAUUGACAAUGAAUAAAGCAUAUAUCAUGUAUAACUGAUUAACAUAAAUUAAUACAUCAACAUUAAGUAGUUUCUGAAGUGUGUAUUAUUUUUUUCCCAUGGGUAUGGAUUAAGCAAACAAUUGCACUUUCAUUGUGACUUAAUUUUUGGAUACUUGUUGAUACUUAUAAUUGUGGUUCCCCAUUACUGACAAUUAUGAUGCCUAUCAAUACUUCAUGAAAACUAACAAAUCUACAGUAAAUUAUUGUGUACGAUGAAUAGUCAUAGACAUAAUUGAGAUGAAUUUUUAUGCUAAUUUCAAAGUCAUACAUGUACUAUGAUUCUCAGUAAUAUGCAGACAAACAAGAUAAAAGCAAUGUAUGAUUAUCAGUGAGAAACCAACCUGAGACAGUUAAUUUAUUGUAAAGUUCAAAGUAUUGUAACAUCUGCACAAAAUUGUUAAUAUUGUAAAAAUGUAAUCAAAACAGGGUUCAAUAAUAAUAAAGGAAAGUUUCAUUACCGAAGUAUGUAUAUACCAGAAUACAUAUAUUUCACAAGCUAAGUGAAAAGUUAUCAUUUGCAUACAUGGUAGAAAUUUAAAUACAGUCAAAGCUGCUUUAGAGACCACAUGUAUUAAGCAAUAACUGGUGUUAUAUGACCAUUAAUUUAAGUCCAUCUGUAACACAAUAAAUUG